GAUGAAGAACGUAGCAAAAUGCGAUAAGUAAUGUGAAUUGCAGAAUUCAGUGAAUCAUCGAAUCUUUGAACGCACAUUGCGCCCGCCAGUAUUCUGGCGGGCGUGCCUGUUCGAGCGUCAUUUCAACCCUCAAGCACAGCUUGGUGUUGGGACUCGCGUUAAUUCGCGUUCCCCAAAUUGAUUGGCGGUCACGUCGAGCUUCCAUAGCGUAGUAGUAAAACCCUCGUUACUGGUAAUCGUCGCGGCCACGCCGUUAAACCCCAACUUCUGAAUGUUGACCUCGGAUCAGGUAGGAAUACCCGCUGAACUUAAGCAUAUCAAUAAGCGGAGGA
rnacentral:misc_RNA from 1 species